rnacentral:tRNA from 1 species
GUAGCGGAGGCGGCGACCGCUCGACGGACGGGGGUUCGAUUCCCCCCAGCUCCACCA